rnacentral:lncRNA from 1 species
AAAGUCAGAUUAAAAGUGUGCUUUUAUUUUCUAGAAUGCUUUGCUACUCAUAUGAAAUAUAUCAUAGGAACCAAUAGAAUUAUGGGUAUUGAGAAAAGGCCAGUAUAAAGCUAUGACUGCUUCUCAUCACUUAGAAAUGUGCUUGUCACCAAAUAAUCCAAAAAGAUACUCUGUUGUGAGUUUGCUUUUGUGAACAACUGUCUUAAACUGAGGCAUGCUCUUCAGGUUACAAUUCAAAGAAGAAAACCUCAGAACGAUCUCCUGAGCUGAAAAUUAAAUCCUGGGGUAUUAAUAGAUGAUGAAGUCAUCCAGCUGCCCAUGAAAUUUUACCCUUUCCUUGAAUUCUUGGUCCCACUGGUCAUUUCAGUUUACCCAAGAGGAGAGAAAUGACAGUCAAAAUUUCCCCAUUUACAGGAAAGCAUGCUUCCUAGAGAUUAUGAACAAUGCAACAGGUUGUCGGAAAUAAUUCUCAGCAAACUGACACAAGAACAGAAAAUCAAACACCACAUGUUCUCACUCAUAGGUGGGUGUUGAACAAUGAGAACACAUGGACGCAGGGAGGGAAGCAUCACACACUGGGGUCUGUUGGGGGGGAAAUAGGGGAGAGACAGCAGGGAGUGGGGAGGUGGGGAGAGAGAGCGUGGGGAGAAAUGCCAGAUGUAGGUGAUGGGGAGGAAGGCAGCAAGCUGGGAUUUCAGGCAUGCGUGAUCACACUCAACUUGUGUUUUUGUGGAGACAGGAUUUCACCAUGUUGGCCAGGCUGGUCUCGAACUCCUGACCUCAGGUGAUCCACCUGCCUUGGACUCUCAAAGUGCUGGGAUUACAGGUGUGAACCACUGAGCCUGGCCUCCAGGAAGUCUUAAAAUAAUAUUUUCCUGUCUUUCAAAGACUUUAGUGAGCCUUUUUUUUCAUGUCUUUGCCCAUUUCUAAUGAAAAUUAUCUUCUUAUUCUCAUUAAUUUUAUUAAAUUACUUUAUCAACAAAUUGCCUCAUCCAUCACCUCCAUAACCAUGAAUCACAGUGUCAUAAAAUAUAUAGCAAAGGAUAACAUGCCUUUCUGAUUGAACUCAUGAAAGUCUGCUUUGCCACACUAAUGCCCUGAAAGCUGAUCUUUUCUUUUUUUGUCAUGUUAUGUGGUUCUUUGUAUUUGUUAGGUAUAAGUAUGUUUAAUAGUUUAAGGCUUAAGAAAACAUACAAGACUGAAGUUAUUUCAUACCAUAUAAACUGCUAUAAAUGUAUUUUUAAUGAUGCUAAAAGUUAAUUUCUUUAGUGGCAUUGUAAUUGGCAAUGCGUUAGGUGCUAAAACACACGUUUUUUUAAAAAGUUUCCAUUCUCAUGUUGAUAUGACUGACAUUUUUCCAGAUCAUUUCGAAAAUAUGUGUAA